rnacentral:rRNA from 1 species
GACGAACGCUGGCGGCGUGCCUAAUACAUGCAAGUAGAACGCUGAAGAGAGGAGCUUGCUCUUCUUGGAUGAGUUGCGAACGGGUGAGUAACGCGUAGGUAACCUGCCUUGUAGCGGGGGAUAACUAUUGGAAACGAUAGCUAAUACCGCAUAACAAUGGAUGACACAUGUCAUUUAUUUGAAAGGGGCAAUUGCUCCACUACAAGAUGGACCUGCGUUGUAUUAGCUAGUAGGUGAGGUAACGGCUCACCUAGGCGACGAUACAUAGCCGACCUGAGAGGGUGAUCGGCCACACUGGGACUGAGACACGGCCCAGACUCCUACGGGAGGCAGCAGUAGGGAAUCUUCGGCAAUGGGGGCAACCCUGACCGAGCAACGCCGCGUGAGUGAAGAAGGUUUUCGGAUCUUAAAGCUCUGUUGUAAGUCAAGAACGAGUGUGAGAGUGGAAAGUUCACACUGUGACGGUAGCUUACCAGAAAAGGACGGCUAACUACGU